rfam:Oryza rufipogon genomic scaffold, chr01
AAUAAGUGCAGCCAUGAGUUUCCGCGUCCAAUUUUAAUCGUCCAUCUUAUUUGAAAUUUUUUUAUAAUUAAUUUUUUUAUUGUUAUAAGAUGAUAAAACAUAAAUAAUACUUUUUACUCGUGACUUAUGUUUUUUUUUCAACUUUUUUUAAAUAAGACGAAUGAUUAAAGUUGGGCGCGGAAAACCAUGGCUGCACUUAUU